AUUGAACGCUGGCGGCAUGCCUUACACAUGCAAGUCGAACGGCAGCACGGGAGCAAUCCUGGUGGCGAGUGGCGAACGGGUGAGUAAUAUAUCGGAACGUGCCCAGUCGUGGGGGAUAACGUAGCGAAAGCUACGCUAAUACCGCAUACGAUCUAUGGAUGAAAGCGGGGGAUCGCAAGACCUCGCGCGAUUGGAGCGGCCGAUAUCAGAUUAGCUAGUUGGUGGGGUAAAAGCUCACCAAGGCGACGAUCUGUAGCUGGUCUGAGAGGACGACCAGCCACACUGGAACUGAGACACGGUCCAGACUCCUACGGGAGGCAGCAGUGGGGAAUUUUGGACAAUGGGCGCAAGCCUGAUCCAGCAAUGCCGCGUGCAGGAUGAAGGCCUUCGGGUUGUAAACGUGCUUUUGUACGGUAACGAAACGGUGAGCUCUAAUAAAGGGGUACAAUGACGGUACCGUAAGAAUAAAGCACCCGGCUAACUAACGUGACC
rnacentral:rRNA from 1 species